GCUGCGGUGUCCGAGUGGUUAAGGAGAUGGACUUGAAAUCCAUUGGGUUCUACCCGCACAGGUUCAAGUCCUGUCCGCAGCG
ensembl:tRNA tRNA:Ser-TGA-1-1 transfer RNA:Serine-TGA 1-1